GAUGAACGCUAGCGGGAGGCCUAACACAUGCAAGCCGAGCGGUAUUGUUUCUUCGGAAAUGAGAGAGCGGCGUACGGGUGCGUAACACGUGUGCAACCUGCCUUUAUCUGGGGGAUAGCCCUUCGAAAGGAAGAUUAAUACUCCAUAAUAUAUUGAACGGCAUCGUUUAAUAUUGAAAGCUCCGGCGGAUAGAGAUGGGCACGCGAAAGAUUAGCUAGUUGGUGAGGUAACGGCUCACCAAGGCGAUGAUCUUUAGGGGGCCUGAGAGGGUGAUCCCCCACCCUGGUACUGGAACACGGACCAGACUCCUACGGGAGGCAGCAGUGAGGAAUAUUGGUCAAUGGGUGCAAGCCUGAACCACCCAUCCCGCGUGAAGGACGACUGCCCUAUGGGUUGUAAACUUCUUUUGUAUAGGGAUAAACCUACCCUCGUGAGGGUAGCUGAAGGUACUAUACGAAUAAGCACCGGCUAACUCCGUGCCAGCCGCCGCCGUAA
rnacentral:rRNA from 1 species